GAACCUAGCUCCUCAAUUAGUUUUCAUAACAGAAAAAUAAAGAUGAGAAGAACACAUCCUCCGGUCUCCAGCGGCAGGCGACACACCGCGACACCCCUCACCUCGUGACGCUGGGGUUCUGCGGCACUCCCGGCCAAAAGCACUUUCCGAAAAAACUGCCGCUCCAAAGCCUGCCCGCCCGCCGCCGCGCGACACCCCGGCGCCGAGCCCGGGUCCGAGUGACGCCUCCUGUUGGCCGCGGCGGUUUGCUCAGCUCCUGGUCCCGGGCCGCGCCAACUCCGCGCAGUGCAGCUGAGGCGCCGCCCGGCUCUGCAAUUCCGGGUGUUCCCGGGCGUCCCCGCCCCCGCCUUCCCCUCAGCAGGCGCCUGGGCGCCCCCCAACUCCUGUCCAGCCUCCUUCGGACCAACGACCCGCCCCGGCCUCCCUGCAUCCCAGAGACUACUCGCGGCGCCUUCUCUCUCUAAUUCUUCUUUACCCCCUCAGCUCACCUCCCGAGGAGCGUCCAACGGGUCUUGGGGGCUCGCAGAACUGAGCCGCGAAGCGCGGGGGAAAGGCGGCGAGCGCUUCCCGCGGCGGCGGGGAGGAAGACGAAGACUUGUGCGCUCUCAAAGUUAAUGUGAAAACAUCUUCCAAACUUCUGGGCUGCAGCCCGAAACGCGGGGUAGCCGGAAGGCUCCCGUAGCUGCCGUGCCCUCCCCCCCGGGGUCUGGGAAGGGCUCCUAGGCGCCUCAGAGCACCCGGGGUCGGCCCGCGGGGGAGGCCGCAUAGACGCGCCCCCACCCUGACGAACGGGGAAGGGGCAGGCGCCUGCGACCCCAACUAAAUCCUUCGGCGCCUCGGUCUGAUGUAUACACCUGCCACAGGCUCUAAGUGCCUAAGAAGUGUAAACCAAUUCCAUCUUCAUGCUGACGGGACCCGAGUGAAUUCGGUACAAAGGGCAGUCUCAAAAUCAAUCACCCCGAUCCGCGAGAGCCCCGCACACUGCCGGCGCGGGGCCGGGGCCGGGGCCGGAGCCGCGAGGCCGGCGCUCGCACUCCCCGCUAGGGUUCUUCAGCCCCUCAGUGCCCUCCCGGAGCCCUUUACCUGAACGGGAGCCUGAGAGAACGGACGACAGGAGCCGAGUGGAAAGCAGUGCCCGCGCCGGAGAUCAGCGCCGAGGGCGGGAGCCGACGUCUAGGGACCACAGAGCCGCGACGCGGCGAGCCGCGCACGGGCCAUUCCGCCGCCGCGAACGCAGAAAGCCUCGACCGCGCUCCGAGUCCAGCCAGCUCGCCUGUCACCUCGAUCUCUGCUUUAAGUGGCUUCCGGUCGCCUCCUCCCGACGGCCCGUCGCGGAGGCGGAGCCUGGGCGGCCGGAGUUCGGUGGGGUGGGGUGAGGAGGCCGGGCGCUCAGUGGGUGUCGGGAAGAAGACCCGCCCCCUGCGCGCGCGUGCGCGUUCGUUCGAGGGGAGGCGCGCGAGUUCUGUGCGGUGGACUUAUGCUCCCGCGAGGGGGCGUGUCCUUUCUCGCGUCCGCAGUGUCCCUGAGGGUCCGCGUCUACACGCGGCUGUGAGGAAGGAAGGCGCGUGCCGCGUGGGACGGGCUCCACCUGCCUGCGGACAGAUGGAGGGUCACUUUGUUCCGAGAAGACCCAGACACCCGAGGGAGGAUGUGAAACGGAACGACCCGUUUCGAGUAAUAACAGGAUGGAGAUGGAGUUUCAUGACAAAAAUGAAGGUGAAUAUGAUGUGGAAAAUACAAAGAUGGAAGCAACAAGCUAAGGAUGCUGGGGCAGAAAGAUGGAACCUGGGUUACUCAUGACAUCUUGAAACUGCUGCAGCCAUCCUAGACUGGCUGCCUCUAGACUUAAUAUGUUUAGAAAGUAAAUCCCAAUUUUAUUAAACUGUUAUCUGUUAUGUAUAUAUGAACACAUUCUUAGCUAAUAAACUAUCAUGUCUCCUAACUAGUCUUCUAGGCUCUACCAGUUAGAUAGUAAUGUGAGUUGGUAUGUCAGAAAUACAAG
rnacentral:lncRNA from 1 species